rnacentral:rRNA from 1 species
AACAGGAUUAGAUACCCUGGUAGUCCAUGCCGUAAACGAUGAGUGCUAGGUGUUGGAGGGUUUCCGCCCUUCAGUGCCGGAGCUAACGCAUUAAGCACUCCGCCUGGGGAGUACGACCGCAAGGUUGAAACUCAAAGGAAUUGACGGGGGCCCGCACAAGCGGUGGAGCAUGUGGUUUAAUUCGAAGCUACGCGAAGAACCUUACCAGGUCUUGACAUCUUGCGCCAACCCUAGAGAUAGGGCGUUUCCUUCGGGAACGCAAUGACAGGUGGUGCAUGGUCGUCGUCAGCUCGUGUCGUGAGAUGUUGGGUUAAGUCCCGCAACGAGCGCAACCCUUGUUACUAGUUGCCAGCAUUAAGUUGGGCACUCUAGUGAGACUGCCGGUGACAAACCGGAGGAAGGUGGGGACGACGUCAGAUCAUCAUGCCCCUUAUGACCUGGGCUACACACGUGCUACAAUGGACGGUACAACGAGUCGCGAACUCGCGAGGGCAAGCAAAUCUCUUAAAACCGUUCUCAGUUCGGACUGCAGGCUGCAACUCGCCUGCACGAAGUCGGAAUCGCUAGUAAUCGCGGAUCAGCAUGCCGCGGUGAAUACGUUCCCGGGCCUUGUACACACCGCCCGUCACACCAUGAGAGUUUGUAACACCCAAAGUCGGUGGGGUAACCUUUUAGGAGCCAGCCGCCUAAGGUGGGACAGAUGAUUAGGGUGAAGUCGUAACAAGGUAACC